AUGGGAUUCUUGCAAGUGGAUUGUAAUGAGAUUCCAAAUUCGACCUACUUGAUGAUUUUUUUGCAAUCUCUAUCUACUUUUUGCUUCUAAUCAUUCUUUGUUCCGUACAUUAUUGGUAAAAAACAUGAUCAACUUGAUAUGUUGAUCUUACAGUUAAAGGGGGAAAAAAAAUCAAUAACUGAUGCAAAUACCAAAUAUUGCUGUGGAUGAGUUGAUGUAAUAAGCUGGUCCAAUAUUCUUCUGCAUUCAGAUGAUUAAAUUAUUCUUAAAAUUCUUUUCCAGGUGAAGAAGCUCCAUCAAGAAGG
rnacentral:misc_RNA from 1 species